UGAGGAAUAUUGGUCAAUGGACGGAAGUCUGAACCAGCCAAGUAGCGUGCAGGAUGACGGCCCUCUGGGUUGUAAACUGCUUUUAGUUGGGAAUAAAGUGCGGUACGUGUACCGUUUUGUAUGUACCAUCAGAAAAAGGACCGGCUAAUUCCGUGCCAGCAGCCGCGGUAAUACGGAAGGUCCAGGCGUUAUCCGGAUUUAUUGGGUUUAAAGGGAGCGCAGGCGGACUCUUAAGUCAGUUGUGAAAUACGGCGGCUCAACCGUCGGACUGCAGUUGAUACUGGGAGUCUUGAGUACACGCAGAGAUACUGGAAUUCAUGGUGUAGCGGUGAAAUGCUCAGAUAUCAUGAGGAACUCCGAUCGCGAAGGCAGGUAUCUGGAGUGUAACUGACGCUGAGGCUCGAAAGUGCGGGUAUCAAACAGG
rnacentral:rRNA from 1 species